AGUGAACGCUGCGGUAGGCCUAACACAUGCAAGUCGGACGGCAGCACAGUAAGAGCUUGCUCUUACGGGUGGCGAGUGGCGGACGGGUGAGGAAUACAUCGGAAUCUACUUUUUCGUGGGGGAUAAAGGAGGGAAACUUACGCUAAUACCGCAUACGACCUACGGGUGAAAGCAGGGGAUCUUCGGACCUUGCGCGGUUGAAUGAGCCGAUGUCGGAUUAGCUAGUUGGCGGGGUAAAGGCCCACCAAGGCGACGAUCCGUAGCUGGUCUGAGAGGAUGAUCAGCCACACUGGAACUGAGACACGGUCCAGACUCCUACGGGAGGCAGCAGUGGGGAAUAUUGGACAAUGGGCGCAAGCCUGAUCCAGCCAUACCGCGUGGGUGAAGAAGGCCUUCGGGUUGUAAAGCCCUUUUGUUGGGAAAGAAAAGCAGCAGGUUAAUACCCCGCUGUUCUGACGGUACCCAAAGAAUAAGCACCGGCUAACUUCGUG
rnacentral:rRNA from 1 species